rnacentral:rRNA from 1 species
ACUUAAAUUGAAGAGUUUGAUCAUGGCUCAGAUUGAACGCUGGCGGCAGGCCUAACACAUGCAAGUCGAGCGGUAGCACAGAGAGCUUGCUCUCGGGUGACGAGCGGCGGACGGGUGAGUAAUGUCUGGGAAACUGCCUGAUGGAGGGGGAUAACUACUGGAAACGGUAGCUAAUACCGCAUAACGUCGCAAGACCAAAGUGGGGGACCUUCGGGCCUCAUGCCAUCAGAUGUGCCCAGAUGGGAUUAGCUAGUAGGUG